rnacentral:sRNA from 12 species
AAGCGGUAAAGUAAGAUGUUGUGCCAGAAAGCAGUGUCUUAUGAGCUUUAUAAGGGUUUAACACAAUCUGGCUAGAGGUUAGUCUUCGAAAGAAAAUGUAAGAA